rnacentral:rRNA from 1 species
CAUGUAGGCGGAUAUGCAAGCUUGGUGUGAAAGGCAGGGGCUUAACUCCUGGACUGCGUUGAGAACUGCAUAACUAGAGUAACUGAGGGGCAACCGGAAUUCUAGGUGUAGGGGUGAAAUCUGUAGAUAUCUGGAAGAACACCAAUGGCGAAGGCAGGUUACCAGCAGAUUACUGACGCUGAGGUGCGAAGGUGCGGGGAGCAAACA